rnacentral:sRNA from 1 species
ACCCCACCCUAAUCUUGUUAUGCAAAUAGGCUUCCCACUUGGCGGGUGCUGUCUUGUCCACUCGUUUCUGUACACAUGGGUGGCAAAAAGAGAAGAUGGAGCUGCCAUUUAGAACAUGCCUAAUCCCAGCUUCAUCUUGCUGAGCAAAAAUGAAGGAGCCUGGACCCAACUUUGUUACUGUGAGAAAGGGUCUUCAUUCAUUCAAGAUGGCAUUUGUUAAGCACCUACUACAAACCUUGGAAAUCAAGAAAGUUCUGGAAUGAUGAAGCUGUUCAUGCCAAGACCGAAAGUGCUGGCCCAGUAUGAGUCCAUUCAGUUCAUGCCGUGACAAUUUUCUUGGAACUCCUUUUUAUUGUUAGUUCUCAUUUGUUUCCAUAUUUAGUGAAUGUACAUUUAAUUGCAAAGCUGUCAUUAAUAAAAAUUCUUAUAGUACCUCA